rnacentral:rRNA from 1 species
GUGGGACUAAGCCAUGCGAGUCAACAUAGCAAUAUGUGGCAUACGGCUCAGUAACACGUAGUCAACAUGCCCAGGGGACGUGGAUAACCUCGGGAAACUGAGGAUAAACCGCGAUAAGUCGCUACUUCUGGAAUGGGUAAUGACUUAAAUCUAUAUGGCCCCUGGAUUGGACUGCGGCCGAUCAGGCUGUUGGUGAGGUAAUGGCCCACCAAACCUGUAACCGGUACGGGCUCUGAGAGGAGGAGCCCGGAGAUGGGCACUGAGACAAGGGCCCAGGCCCUAUGGGGCGCAGCAGGCGCGAAACCUCUGCAAUAGGCGAAAGCCUGACAGGGUUACUCUGAGUGAUUUCCGUUAAGGAGAUCUUUUGGCACCUCUAAAAAUGGUGCAGAAUAAGGGGUGGGCAAGUCUGGUGUCAGCCGCCGCGGUAAUACCAGCACCCCGAGUGGUCGGGACGUUUAUUGGGCCUAAAGCAUCCGUAGCCGGUUCUGCAAGUCUUCCGUUAAAUCCACCUGCUUAACAGAUGGGCCGCGGAAGAUACUAUAGAGCUAGGAGGCGGGAGAGGCAAGCGGUACUCGAUGGGUAGGGGUAAAAUCCGUUGAUCCAUUGAAGACCACCAGUGGCGAAGGCGGCUUGCCAGAACGCGCUCGACGGUGAGGGAUGAAAGCUGGGGGAGCAAACCGGAUUAGAUACCCGGGUAGUCCCAGCUGUAAACGAUGCAGACUCGGUGAUGAAUUGGCUUUAUGCCUAUUCAGUGCCGCAGGGAAGCCGUUAAGUUUGCCGCCUGGGGAGUACGGUCGCAAGACUGAAACUUAAAGGAAUUGGCGGGGGAGCACCACAAGGGGUGAAGCUCUGCGGUUCAAUUGGAUUCAACGCCGG